rnacentral:rRNA from 1 species
GGAAUAUUGGACAAUGGGGGGAACCCUGAUCCAGCGACGCCGCGUGAGUGAAGAAGUAUUUCGGUAUGUAAAGCUCUAUCAGCAGGGAAGAAAGAAAUGACGGUACCUGACUAAGAAGCCCCGGCUAACUACGUUCCAGCAGCCGCGGUAAUACGUAGGGGGCAAGCGUUAUCCGGAUUUACUGGGUGUAAAGGGAGCGUAGACGGCAGAGCAAGUCUGAAGUGAAAGCCCGCGGCCCAACUGCGGGACUGCUUUGGAAACUGCCCGGCUAGAGUGCUGGAGAGGUAAGCGGAAUUCCUAGUGUAGCGGUGAAAUGCGUAGAUAUUAGGAGGAACACCAGUGGCGAAGGCGGCUUACUGGACAGUAACUGACGUUGAGGCUCGAAAGCGUGGGGAGCAAAC